rnacentral:snRNA from 1 species
GUGUUACUUCGGUAGCACACAUACUAACAUUGGAACGAUACAGAGAAGAUUAGCAUGGCCCCCUGCGCAAGGAUGACACGCAAACGCGUUGCUCAACUCCUUCCUUUU